UCCGUGGACGUGACCUACGACGGCAGCCCCGUGCCCAGUAGCCCCUUCCAGGUGCCCGUGACUGAGGGCUGCGACCCCUCCCGGGUGCGUGUCCACGGGCCAGGCAUCCAAAGUGGCACCACCAACAAGCCCAACAAGUUCACUGUGGAGACCAGGUAAGGGAGUCCCCAGGAGCCUGUGUGGCUGGUGGGCCUGGGAACCCCAGGAACGACCGGCUAUCUGUUUGGACCAGGGGAGCUGGCACGGGCGGCCUGGGCCUGGCUGUAGAGGGCCCCUCCGAGGCCAAGAUGUCCUGCAUGGAUAACAAGGACGGCAGCUGCUCGGUCGAGUACAUCCCUUAUGAGGCUGGCACCUACAGCCUCAACGUCACCUAUGGUGGCCAUCAAGUGCCAGGCAGUCCUUUCAAGGUCCCUGUGCAUGAUGUGACAGAUGCGUCCAAAGUCAAGUGCUCUGGGCCCGGCCUGAGCCCAGGCAUGGUUCGUGCCAACCUCCCUCAGUCCUUCCAGGUGGACACAAGCAAGGCUGGUGUGGCCCCACUGCAGGUCAAAGUGCAAGGGCCCAAAGGCCUGGUGGAGCCAGUGGACGUGGUAGACAACGCUGAUGGCACCCAGACCGUCAAUUACGUGCCCAGCCGAGAAGGGCCCUACAGCAUCUCAGUACUGUAUGGAGAUGAAGAGGUACCCCGGAGCCCCUUCAAGGUCAAGGUGCUGCCUACUCAUGAUGCCAGCAAGGUGAAGGCCAGUGGCCCCGGGCUCAACACCACUGGCGUGCCUGCCAGCCUGCCCGUGGAAUUCACCAUCGAUGCAAAGGACGCAGGGGAGGGCCUGCUGGCUGUCCAGAUCACGGAUCCCGAAGGCAAGCCGAAGAAGACACACAUCCAAGACAACCAUGACGGCACGUAUACAGUGGCCUACGUGCCAGACGUGACGGGUCGCUACACCAUCCUCAUCAAGUAUGGUGGUGACGAGAUCCCCUUCUCCCCGUACCGCGUGCGUGCCGUGCCCACCGGGGACGCCAGCAAGUGUACAGUCACAGGUGCUGGCAUCGGCCCCACCAUUCAGAUUGGGGAGGAGACGGUGAUCACUGUGGACACUAAGGCGGCAGGCAAAGGCAAAGUGACGUGCACCGUGUGCACGCCUGAUGGCUCGGAGGUGGAUGUGGACGUGGUGGAGAAUGAGGACGGCACUUUCGACAUCUUCUACACGGCCCCCCAGCCGGGCAAAUACGUCAUCUGUGUGCGCUUUGGUGGCGAGCACGUGCCCAACAGCCCCUUCCAAGUGACGGCUCUGGCUGGGGACCAGCCCUCGGUGCAGCCCCCUCUACGGUCUCAGCAGCUGGCCCCACAGUACACCUACGCCCAGGGCGGCCAGCAGACUUGGGCCCCGGAGAGGCCCCUGGUGGGUGUCAAUGGGCUGGAUAUGACCAGCCUGAGGCCCUUUGACCUUGUCAUCCCCUUCACCAUCAAGAAGGGCGAGAUCACAGGGGAGGUUCGGAUGCCCUCAGGCAAGGUGGCGCAGCCCACCAUCACUGACAACAAAGACGGCACCGUGACCGUGCGGUAUGCACCCAGCGAGGCUGGCCUGCACGAGAUGGAUAUCCGCUAUGACAACAUGCACAUCCCAGGAAGCCCCUUGCAGUUCUAUGUGGAUUACGUCAACUGUGGCCAUGUCACUGCCUAUGGGCCUGGCCUCACCCAUGGAGUAGUGAACAAGCCUGCCACCUUCACCGUCAACACCAAGGAUGCAGGAGAGGGGGGCCUGUCCCUGGCCAUCGAGGGCCCGUCCAAAGCAGAAAUCAGCUGCACUGACAACCAGGAUGGGACAUGCAGCGUGUCCUACCUGCCUGUGCUGCCAGGUGACUACAGCAUUCUAGUCAAGUACAAUGAACAGCACAUCCCAGGCAGCCCCUUCACUGCCCGGGUCACAGGUGACGACUCCAUGCGUAUGUCCCACCUAAAGGUGGGCUCUGCUGCCGACAUCCCCAUCAACAUCUCAGAGACGGAUCUCAGCCUGCUGACGGCCACUGUGGUCCCGCCCUCGGGCCGGGAGGAGCCCUGUUUGCUGAAGCGGCUGCGUAAUGGCCACGUGGGGAUUUCAUUCGUGCCCAAGGAGACAGGGGAGCACCUGGUGCAUGUGAAGAAAAAUGGCCAGCACGUGGCCAGCAGCCCCAUCCCGGUGGUGAUCAGCCAGUCGGAAAUUGGGGAUGCCAGUCGCGUUCGGGUCUCUGGUCAGGGCCUUCACGAAGGCCACACCUUUGAGCCUGCAGAGUUUAUCAUUGAUACCCGAGAUGCAGGUAGGCAGUGGCUGCCCACCAGCUGGGGUGGGAGCACUGUGCAUAGCACCGAAGCUCAGGGGUAUCCAUCCCCUAGGCUAUGGUGGGCUCAGCCUGUCCAUUGAGGGCCCCAGCAAGGUCGACAUCAACACAGAGGACCUGGAGGACGGGACGUGCAGGGUCACCUACUGCCCCACAGAGCCAGGCAACUACAUCAUCAACAUCAAGUUUGCCGACCAGCACGUGCCUGGCAGCCCCUUCUCUGUGAAGGUGACAGGCGAGGGCCGGGUGAAAGAGAGCAUCACCCGCAGGCGUCGGGCUCCUUCAGUGGCCAACGUUGGUAGUCAUUGUGACCUCAGCCUGAAGAUCCCUGAAAUUAGCAUCCAGGAUAUGACAGCCCAGGUAACCAGCCCAUCGGGCAAGACCCAUGAGGCCGAGAUCGUGGAAGGGGAGAACCACACCUACUGUAUCCGCUUUGUUCCUGCUGAGAUGGGCACACACACAGUCAGCGUCAAGUACAAGGGCCAGCACGUGCCUGGGAGCCCCUUCCAGUUCACCGUGGGGCCCCUAGGGGAAGGGGGAGCCCACAAGGUCCGAGCUGGGGGCCCUGGCCUGGAGAGAGCUGAAGCUGGAGUGCCAGCCGAAUUCAGUAUCUGGACCCGGGAAGCUGGCGCCGGAGGCCUGGCCAUUGCUGUCGAGGGCCCCAGCAAGGCUGAGAUCUCUUUUGAGGACCGCAAGGACGGCUCCUGUGGUGUGGCUUAUGUGGUCCAGGAGCCAGGUGACUACGAAGUCUCAGUCAAGUUCAACGAGGAACACAUUCCCGACAGCCCCUUCGUGGUGCCUGUGGCUUCUCCGUCUGGUGACGCCCGCCGCCUCACUGUUUCUAGCCUUCAGGUGAGGCACCGAGAGAAACCGCCCACCUGGGGCUCCUGGGCCCGGACAGACCAGAGCUACCGCAGAGAGCAGGCCUUGGCCCUGUGUUCAGUGACCCCCCCCUGGCCCAGCUCUGGGUUCCAGGCCUCUGCUCUGGCCGGGUGCAGCCCACGCUUGGGGUCGGCAGGAAAUAUCCUGCCCACCACGUGGAGUUUUUCUCGUGUCUCAGGUCUAAAGGCUUUGAACAGAAGCCUGUGCCCCUUGAGCACCAGGGCUGUGGUUUAAAGAGGGACAGCCUGCCAAGGCUGGGUGCUGCCCACAGGGUGGGGCAGCCCUCCCUUCCUGCCACCUGGGUGUGUGCGACGGCAGAGUGUGGGGGCAGGGGCGGGGAUGUGCGCCUGUGGCUUGCUGCCCCUUGCAAAUCAGUGGCUCUCCCUCUUUAAACCAAGUUGGACGCCAGAUGGGUAAGUGCGACCUGUGGGCCUCUUGCUCCUGGCCUCUUGCUCCUUCGUCCCUUGCCUUGGCCCAAGCCCCGCCAUCUAACCAUGUCUGCUGUGCUUCCAGGAGUCAGGGCUAAAGGUCAACCAGCCAGCCUCUUUUGCAGUCAGCCUGAACGGGGCCAAGGGGGCGAUCGAUGCCAAGGUGCACAGCCCCUCAGGAGCCCUGGAGGAGUGCUAUGUCACAGAAAUUGACCAAGGUGAGGCCCUGUCCCUGCCCGGCCGCCCUGCCCUGCUGGCUGGAAGCAGGCUGAGAGUACAAAAGGAAGGUACCGCUUCUGUAAGCAGCCAAGAUGGGGCCCCAACUCCUGGGCCCCCUAAGCCAGGCAACCCUUUCCCAAUUGGUGACCCAAGCCGUUGGGGAUGUGGCUCGCCACCCACAGCUAUUAGGAAGGCCUUCUACCCUGCAGUACCAUCUCCACAGGGAAAGACUCAAAGUCCAGCCUCAGUGCUGCCCGGCCCUUCAGCCACGGCCAUGCUACUUGAGCACAGGUGUAGGAGGAGCCCAGUGGGCUUCAUUUCACAGCCUAGUCCUGCCCUUCCCAGCUGCAUGACCUGAAGCAAGUUCCUGCCUGUCUCUGAGCCCGUUAACAUGCAGGGGAUAUGGUGUUCACGGUAACCUUUCUUAGGAGGCAGCGAGGCCUGGGUUUGGCUUGUAAAACAUUUCCGUCCCAAUGCACCCUGACAGUGGGCAGCUUGAGUGUCUAAAGCUUCGGCCCUCAGGAGGUCUGCUGCGGGGUGCAGGUGCCCAGCAUGGCUGGGCUCACACUGAUGGACUGGCAAAAUGGGGAUGGGCAGGGUCGAGGCUGUUCCUCACAGACACACCAUCUGCUGGUUUGAGGAGGGGCCCCAGGCCCACAGCAUGGCUCCCUGCUCCUCAGAUAAGUAUGCUGUGCGCUUCAUCCCUCGGGAGAAUGGCGUUUACCUGAUUGACGUCAAGUUCAACGGCACCCACAUCCCUGGAAGCCCCUUCAAGAUCCGAGUUGGGGAGCCUGGGCAUGGAGGGGACCCAGGCUUGGUGUCUGCUUACGGAGCAGGUCUGGAAGGCGGUGUCACAGGGAACCCAGCUGAGUUCAUCGUGAACACGAGCAAUGCGGGAGCUGGUGCCCUGUCAGUGACCAUUGACGGCCCCUCCAAGGUGAAGAUGGAUUGCCAGGAGUGCCCUGAGGGCUACCGCGUCACCUAUACCCCCAUGGCACCUGGCAGCUACCUCAUCUCCAUCAAGUACGGCGGCCCCUACCACAUUGGGGGCAGCCCCUUCAAGGCCAAAGUCACAGGUCCCCGUCUCGUCAGCAACCACAGCCUCCACGAGACAUCAUCGGUGUUUGUAGACUCUCUGACCAAGGCCACCUGUGCCCCCCAGCAUGGGGCCCCGGGUCCUGGGCCUGCUGACGCCAGCAAGGUGGUGGCCAAGGGCCUGGGGCUGAGCAAGGCCUACAUAGGCCAGAAGAGCAGCUUCACAGUAGACUGCAGCAAAGCAGGCAACAACAUGCUGCUGGUGGGGGUUCAUGGCCCAAGGACCCCCUGCGAGGAGAUCCUGGUGAAGCACGUGGGCAGCCGGCUCUACAGCGUGUCCUACCUGCUCAAGGACAAGGGGGAGUACACACUGGUGGUCAAAUGGGGCGAUGAGCACAUCCCCGGCAGCCCCUACCGCGUUGUGGUACCCUGAGUCUGGGGCCCGUGCCAGCCAGCAGCCCCCAAGCCUGCCCCACUACCCAAGCAGCCCCGCCCUCCUCCCCUCAACCCUGGCCCCUGGGCCGCCCUGGCCGCCCGCCUGUCACUGCAGCCGCCCCUGCCCUGUGCCGUGCUGCGCUCACCUGCCUCCCCAGCCAGCCGCUGACCUCUCGGCUUUCACUUGGGCAGAGGGAGCCA
rnacentral:sRNA from 1 species